CCGAUGAUCAUGAAAUUUAUUUUAUAUAUCAAACUUCCUUUUUGUUGACAGCUUACAGAUUAUAUUUUUAGGUCGUUGAAUUUGUCUAUAAGCAGUAUGAUUGGCAAGAUAAAAGUUGCAACUCUUCAAAAGCAUCAAAAACUAUUUUUUUACAAAACUUCAGUACUCUCGAAAUGAAUGAUUCAUACACGUGACUCAGCCAUAAAGUAUUUUUUCUAUUUAUGUAGUAAACAUUGCCAAUAUACAACAGUCGACGAAUGUUGAUAUUUGUCAUAUCUACUGGCGUCAUCACACUCGUCAUUUUGGCGAUCACAUCUUAUGUAUUUUACAAUAGGAAAAAUAUUUACGGUGGUUUUUAUCUUCUUUUUAUCCUCCAUUGCCUGACUACAUUAGAAAGAUUGAUAUGAAUGGAGACAUACACGAACAAAUACAAAAGCUUCCAUUUUUACAUGAGUGGGAGUUUCCUAGAGAAAGAAUAAAAUUCAUAAAUAAACCUGGGUCUGGUGAAUUUGAGGUAGUUUGGCUUGCAGAGGUAGUUGGUAUCUCGUCAUUUCAUCCAAGAGACAUCCUGA